rnacentral:rRNA from 1 species
UACGUAGGGUGCAAGCGUUAAUCGGAAUUACUGGGCGUAAAGGGCUCGUAGGCGGUUUGUCGCGUCGGGAGUGAAAACUCAGGGCUCAACCCUGAGCGUGCUUCCGAUACGGGCAGACUAGAGGUAUGCAGGGGAGAACGGAAUUCCUGGUGUAGCGGUGGAAUGCGCAGAUAUCAGGAGGAACACCGGUGGCGAAGGCGGUUCUCUGGGCAUUACCUGACGCUGAGGAGCGAAAGCAUGGGGGAGCGAACAGG